GGAGAUUUGGGACAAAUUCAUUGAUUAAGAACUGAAAUUCUCAAAAGCACAAUACAGGACAAAAGGCCUUCAUAUCUAACAUUCAGCUCUCAAUAGCCAAAAAAAAUAAAGCACAAAAUGUAAUUAUCAAUAUUUUCUUGCCAAUUCAUCAUAUGCUAUGAUAGAUCCAUCAAACGGUACUCGACAACAAAUAGAUGUUAGCAUAUAGCACAUCCCUACUACACCAAAAAGUCGGGUAACAGAUUUGAACCAACAUUGACUGACAAUGGCUCUAACAGAUUUGAACCUACAUUGACUGACAAUGGCUCUUGUAUCUUACCAAAUAAGAACACAUGAUCACUGCAACAGCUUCUAGUGACUCUCAGAAAUAUCAUCUUAAAGCUUUGCUUCAAUAAACCAAAAGGCAUAUCAAUUGUUUAACCUAAUAAGAGCAGAAGUAGAUGUAGAUCCACCAAUGAAGCUUCUAAUCAAUGCUUGGCUUUCGUUCUAUACUUGACUUGCUAAGUAUCACUACACCAAUUACAAUGAGUAAGGCACCUGCAAACCACUGUAGUACAGGUUUCAUUAUUAGAGUUCCAUAUGUUAAUGAUAAGAUACAAUCCUCUAGCUAUAACACAAAUUAAUUAUGAAAUCAGGAGCAAAUAUUAAUACAAAACAGCUAUCUUGAUGAUGCUACCAUGGCUAACUACAAUCUGAAAUUCUUCCUCCUGGCAAUAUUAUUAAGAGGAAAAAAUAUCUGAAUUGAAAAGGAUAAACAAACAAUGUGAGAGGAAGAGGCCAUUGGAAGAUUCUAUUCAUUAAUUUUUGUUACAGAUCCAUGAAGGGUAAAUGAUUUGGGUUGACAAAAGAAGGAAUAUAGCACAAUUUCUCCCCCAUUUUUUUAUUUGGGAAGCAUUCCAUAAGGUUUACCAAUGUCUUUCAUUUCAUACGUUUUACCAAACUUUCUAGUUCUCACCUAUCGUGUUGAACUAACCCAGAUAAAAAAUCAGCGCUUUCAGAUAUGAUAUACACAGAAUCAAAAACACCUGUUGAAAUUUUACAAAUGGUCCUGCUCGUUACUGCCAAGUGAUUUACCUGAGCUGAUAAUGCUUCCUCAAACAACAAAAAUCCAGCUAGACCAGAGGAGAGGAAAUUCGUGGCAAAGUUCGUCACUGUAGCUUGCAGAGAUGAAAGAACUUUAAGGCUGUUAACGUAACAUCCCCACAUUGUAACAUUACAUAUCACAACCAGACUAUAUCUAACAAACUGAUUGUAAAAGAACUUAGCAGCUAUGGCAGCGAGAGCGGCGUUGAUUCCAGCUGAUACUGCCCAUCCGUACCCUUCCUUCUUUCUGCCCAUCUCUGCGCUCAUUGGAAGGCACUCUUCGAAAGGCCACCAGUACAUGGAGGCUGCACUGUUGAAAAACCCUACGACUUCGUUUUAAUCGUCAGC
rnacentral:misc_RNA from 1 species